AUGAACGCUGGCGGCGUGCCUUACAUAUGCAAGUCGAACGAUGUAGCAAUACAUAGUGGCGGACGGGUGAGUAACGCGUGGGAAUCUACCUCAAAGUGGGGGAUAACUCUCCGAAAGGAAAGCUAAUACCGCAUGUGAUACUGAGAGAAAUCGAAUGUAUUAAAGAUUUAUCGCUUUGAGAUGAGCCUGCGUAGGAUUAUGCUAGUUGGUAGGGUAAAAGCCUACCAAGGCGACGAUCCUUAGCUGGUCUGAGAGGAUGAUCAGCCACAAGGGGACUGCGACACGGCCCCUACACCUACGGGUGGCGCAGUGGGGAAUCUUAGACAAUGGACGAAAGUCUGAUCUAGCGACGCCGCGUGGAGGAUUGAAGGCCCUCGGGUUGUAAACUCCUUUGCUUGGGAAGAUUAUGACGGUACUAAGCGAAUAAGCACCUGCUAAUCACGUGCCAGAAGCCUCGGUAAGACGUGAGGUGCAAGCGUUAUCCGGAUUCAUUGGGCGUAAAGAGUUGCGUAGGCGGUUUACCGCAUUUUGCUUAAAAGCCCAUGGCUCAACCAUGGUUUGGGGCAAAAUAUGGGUAAACUUGAUAGUUUAAGAGGGUGGCUGGAACUUUGGGUGUAGCAGUGAAAUGCGUUGAUAUCCAAAGGAACACCAAAGGCGUAGGCAGGCACCUGGGAAACUUAUGACGCUGAGGCACGAAAGCCUGGGUAGCGAAGCAGAUUAGAGACCUGCGUAGUCCAGGCCGUAAACGAUGGAUGCUAGAUGGAAGGAUUCGUCUUUCCGUCGCAAGCUAACGCGUUAAGCAUCCCGCCUGGGGAGUACGAGCGCAAGCUUAAAACUCAAAGGAAUUGACGGGGAGGCGCACAAGCAGUGGAGCAUGUGGUUUAAUUCGAUACGAAGCGAAAAACCUCACCAGGGUUUGACAUGCAAUUGCUAAUCCGCCGAAAGGCGGACUCCUUCGAGGGUAUUGCACAGAUGCUGCAUGGCUGUCGUCAGCUCGUGGCGUGAGCUGUACCGUUAAGUCGGGAAACGAGCGCAACCCGCAUCGUAUGUUAAAUAAUUCAUACGAAACUGCCCCACUUUGUGGGGAGGAAGGCGCGGAUGAUGUCAAGUCAGCACGGCUCUUACACCCUGGGCUACACACAUCCUACAAUGGACAGUAACAACGAGCCGCAAGCAGGUAACUGCAAGCUAAUCUCUGAAAUCUGUCCUCAGUUCAGAUUGAGGUCUGCAAUUUGACCUCAUGAAGUCGGAAUUGCUAGUAAUCGCGAAUCAGCAGGUCGCGGUGAAUACGUUCUCGCCUCUUGUACACACCGCCCGUCAAGGCAGCAAAGUUGGGGGCACCCGAAUAACCAUGUAUUUGGUUAGAAGGUGAAAUCAGCGAUGAAGCUU
rnacentral:rRNA from 1 species